AGACACAACAUCUUUGUAUGUGGUGCUGAGGAUCGAACCGGGGCCGCACGCUUGCCAGGCGAGUGCGCUACCGCUUGAGCCACAUCCCCAGCCCCCCAAGACAAUUUUAAAUUGAUAGAUCAACUCUUCUGAAUUAAUUUUGGACUCAGAUAUUGAUGUCUGAUUUUCAACACAAUAUUCUUGGGAAAGGCAAUCAGCAUGACUCGAUGAGUGUCCCACUAUUUCACAGGGUAUGCCAAGAAUUCAGCACACUGACCAUUCUUUCCCUGGGCCAUUUCCAAGGGAUGUGUUUGCUUAGGUAGUGUCUCAAACAAUGAACCAGGCUAUUUGCCUCUCAGUAAAUCCAAAGAAGAACUCAAACUAUCCCUAUUUGCCGAGAACAUGAUUCUAUAUUUAAAACACCCACCAGAAAACUUCUAGAACUCAUAAGUGAAUGCAGCAAAGUAGUAGGAUACACAAUUAAUACCCAUAAAUCAAUUGAUUUAUGUGUUCCUUUACAUCAGUAAUUAAUCAAUUGAAAGAGAAAUUAGGAAAACUAUCCCAUUGACAAUAGCCUCAGAAACUAAAAUAUUUGGGAAUCAAUCUUUUUUUUUUAAAGAGAGAAUUUUAAUAUUUUAUUUUUUAGUUAUCAGUGGACACAACUUCUUUGUAUGUGGUGCUGAGGAUCGAACCCAGGCCGCACACAUGCCAAGCGAGCGCGCUACCGUUUAAGCCACAUCCCCCUCCCCUGGGAAUCAAUCUUAGCAAUGUAAAGAGGUGAAAAUACUUUACUAUGAAAACUACAGAACACUAUAGAAAGAAUCCAAAGAAUUUAGGAGAUGGAAAGAUCAUGCAUGUUCUUGGAUAGAAAGAAUUAAUAUUGUCAAAAUGGCCAUACUACCAUAAUUGUUAUACAAGUUUAAUGCAAUUCCUAUUAAAAUCCUAAUGAUAUGCUUCAUAGAACUAGAAAAAGCAGUCAUGAAAUUCAUUUGGAAAAAUAAGAGGCCCAGAAUAGCCAAAGCAAUCCUCAGCAAGAAAAGUGAAGCAGGAGGUUAUCACAAUAUCAGACCUUAAAUUAAAUUAUACUUCAGAGCUAUAGUAACAAAAAUGGCAUAGUAUUGGCACCAAAGCAGAUGCAAAGAUCAAUGGUACAGAAUACAAGACAUAAAGACAAAUGCACGUAAAUACAGUUAUACUACAGAAAGGUGCCACAAACAUAGAUUGGAGAAAAGAUAGCUUCUUCAACAAAUGGUGCUGGGAAAACUGGAAAUCCACAUAUAACAAAAUGAAAUUAAACCCCUAUCUCCUCCAUUUAUGUGCAAUGUAUCAAAAUGCAUUCCACUGUCAUGUAUAACUAAUUAGAACGAAUUAAAAAAACAUAAGGGAGACCAGUAGAAUAGAAGAAGGGGAGGGCCUUUGGAAUGAAAUUGAUCAAAUCAUAUUGUUUUAUUGUGUGAGUAUAUGAAUAUAUUAUAACAACAACAAAACCUUCUAUCACCCUGCACAAAACUCAAAGUGGAUCAAGGACAUAAGGUUAGAUAAGAAACCCUGUGCCUAAUAGAAGAAAAAUAGGCCCAAAUCUCCAUAGUGUCAGCUUAGGAACUGAAUCCUCAAUAAAACACCCAAAGCAUAAGAAGUAAAAUCAAGAAUCAAUAAAAGCAAUGGAAACAAUCAAGAAUGUGAAGACAAAGCCUACAGAAUGGGAGAAAAUCUUUGCCACCUGCACCUCAGAUAGAGCAUUAAUCUCCAGAAUAUACAAAGAACUCGGAAAACGUAACACCAAAUAACCCAAUCAAUAGGUGGGCAAAUUUGUAUAACUUGUAUAACCAAACAGACACUUCAGAGAAGAAAUAUGAUCUGUCAGCAAAUAUGAAAAACUGUUCAACAUCUUUUAACAACUAGAGAAAUGCAAAUUAAAGCUACACUGAGAUUUCCAUCUCACGCUAGUCAGAAUGGCAAUUAUCAAGAAUACAAGUAACAAUAAAUGUUGGCUAGGAUGUUGAGUGAAAGGUAUACUCAUAAAUUGCUGGUGGGACUGAAAAUUGGUGCAACCAUUCUGGAAAGCAGUAUGAAGAUUCUUCAGAAAACCUGGAAUGGAACCACCAUUUGACCCAGUUUUCCCACUCUUCGAUAUAUACCCAAAGAACUUAAAAUCAGCAAACUACAGUGAUACAGCCACAUCAAUGUUUAUAAUAACUCAAUUCACAACCAACUUCAACUCUUCAACAGAUGAAUGGAUAAAGAAAAUAUGCAAUGUAAUAUUACUCAGCCAUAAAGAAAAAUAAAAUUGGGGCAUUUGCCAGUUCAUGGAUGGAACUGGAUACUAUUGUGCUAAAUCAAAAAAGCCAAUCCAAAAAAAACAAAGGCCAAAUGUUCUGAGAUGCAGAUGCUAAUACAUGGUCAGGGUGAGGGUAAGGAACAGAAAUUCAUUAGAUUAGACAAAAGGGAAGGUAGGGAAUGGAGGGGCAUGUGAUUAGGAAAGAUAGUAGAAUUAAUCAGACAUUACUUACCUAAGUUCAUAUAUGAAUACAUGACCAGUGUAACUCCACAUCAUGUACAACCACAAGAAUGAUAAGUUGUACUCCAUGUAUGUAUAAUAUGUCAAAAUACAUUCUAUUGUCAUAUAUAACUAAAAAUAACGAAUAAAGAAU
rnacentral:lncRNA from 1 species